ACGCUGGCGGCAGGCCUAACACAUGCAAGUCGAGCGGUAGAGAGAAGCUUGCUUCUCUUGAGAGCGGCGGACGGGUGAGUAAUGCCUAGGAAUCUGCCUGGUAGUGGGGGAUAACGUUCGGAAACGGACGCUAAUACCGCAUACGUCCUACGGGAGAAAGCAGGGGACCUUCGGGCCUUGCGCUAUCGGAUGAGCCUAGGUCGGAUUAGCUAGUUGGUGGGGUAAUGGCUCACCAAGGCGACGAUCCGUAACUGGUCUGAGAGGAUGAUCAGUCACACUGGAACUGAGACACGGUCCAGACUCCUACGGGAGGCAGCAGUGGGGAAUAUUGGACAAUGGGCGAAAGCCUGAUCCAGCCAUGCCGCGUGUGUGAAGAAGGUCUUCGGAUUGUAAAGCACUUUAAGUUGGGAGGAAGGGCCAUUACCUAAUACGUGAUGGUUUUGACGUUACCGACAGAAUAAGCACCGGCUAACUCUGUGCCAGCAGCCGCGGUAAUACAGAGGGUGCAAGCGUUAAUCGGAAUUACUGGGCGUAAAGCGCGCGUAGGUGGUUUGUUAAGUUGGAUGUGAAAUCCCCGGGCUCAACCUGGGAACUGCAUUCAAAACUGACUGACUAGAGUAUGGUAGAGGGUGGUGGAAUUUCCUGUGUAGCGGUGAAAUGCGUAGAUAUAGGUAGGAACACCAGUGGCGAAGGCGACCACCUGGACUGAUACUGACACUGAGGUGCGAAAGCGUGGGGAGCAAACAGGAUUAGAU
rnacentral:rRNA from 1 species